UAGUUUCAUAUAGAACAAUUAAUGUGACAACCUCUUAGUUAUUUGGUUUAUGGCUUAGUAGGACAAAGUAUAAAAUUUCAUGAAUGUGAUUAUGAGAGGAGGUAAUUCUGCUUCCCUUCCCAAUUAUUUAUUGACACCAUCUCCAUGCCUUAUAACUGUACUUGUUAGCCAGUUAAGAAGUAAUCAUAGGGUUGGAUUUGUGCAGAACAGAACUAUUUAGGAAUUCUUUUGGCUAAGGUCAAGGAGAGGGAGGGAGAAAGCAAAGGUAAUUUUUUACUUUCAGUAUUACAAUUGUAUUACAUCAGAAAAAUCCCACCAGAGCAUAUGACAGAGACGUUUGGGUGCUAGAGGGAAUAGCAGGUUGACUGCUGUGUCAUUUAGAGCAGUAACACAGAUACGAGGCUCAAUAAUGCAGGACAAAGAGAAUUUGAAUACAUAUUUGUUGUGCUAAUAUUAAAUUUCUUAUGUUACAUUAAUCUUUCUUUAGGGCUGAGGUAUAUCUUUUUCCAUGGUGAAAUCGUCCCAAAAUGAUAUUAACAUGAUUAAUAGCUUCUCCAGACCUGGCUAACUCCCUGGGCUUGCACCAAGGUAGGUGUGGAGGUGGGGCUGAGGUAUGAAAAUAUCUCCCCCUCCACCCCCACAUCACAGAGCAAUACUUUCUUAUUUCUAAGAGGAAAAAAUCAGUAAUAUAUUAGCAACAAAAAAAUAUGAAACAUGAGAGUUUAUGGAAGCACAUUAAAAAACAAGUAAGAAUCAAGUGAAACUUCAUUUUGUUUGAGGACAGUGUGAAUAAUGUCUUUACUUUCUCUAAUGAGCGAAUUUGUUUUCCAAAACCAUAGAAAUAUAAAUAACUUCUGAUUCAUUUCCUGGCAAGAGCUAACUGUAUUACUGUAGAUUAUUAUUAUUUUUUCUCACUGCUUCUUUUGACACUGAUUACUAUAGAUUAUACCUCUCCAAUUGUAUUACUUCUUUUAAGUGGCUCUGGUUGUAAUUUGUAGGACAGGAGAAAGGAUAUUUAGGAAGUGAAAAUUAAGGUCCACGUACUCUUACAGCAGUAUUCUAAAGAACACCCACUCACGUCACCUAUAAAGGGCAGGAAUAUCCUGCUCACACUUCCUAAGCAGAAAGCUUGCAUUUUAUUUUAAAUUACAGUAGUCCCCCUUUAUCCACGGUUUUGCUUUCUGCAGUUUCAGUUAUCCAUGGACCAUCAUGAUCCAAAAAUAUUAAGUGAAAAUUUUUAGAAAUAAACGAUUCAUAAGUUUUAAAUUGUGUGCUGAUCGGAGUAGCUUGAUGAAAUCUUAUUUGGGUGCUUCAACACGCUUUGUGCAGUGCAUCCGCACUGUCUAUGCUACCCAUCCGUUAGCCACUAAGAGUCAUCUCAGUUAUCACAUGGACUGUUGUAGUGUUCAAGUAGCCCUUAUUUUACUUAAUGAUAGCCCCAAAGUGCAAGAGUACUAUGUCUAAUGUAUAAAUUAAACUUUAUUAUAGGUAUAUAGUAUAGAAAAAAAACACUGUACACAGGAUUCAGUACUAUCUGCAGUUUCAGGCAUCCACUGGUGAUCUUAGAACACAUCUUCUGCAGAUAAGCCGGGCUCUUGUACUCCUUCACCUUCUUCCUGUUAAUUUAUAGUAAAUGGAAUAGCAGUAUUGAACUGUAUCAAAGGCCAGUGAGCCCUAUCUGACAUGUCCGGAAGGUAUUGCUGGAUCAGGUUGAAGACUGACCAAAGGAAGUCACCCAAAGAGAAAGGCAGUAUCAGAGAGCCUUCUCGUCUUCCCAAAUCACCUUUUCCUUAAAGUGGGGGAACAGUUGAUUUGACUCAAGAAAUUCCUGAGAGUCUAGUGUCACUGGGCUUGUGUGGAAUGUGGCUCCUUCCUUUUUCUGUGUUUCCCAAGGAUUGACUAUGCACAGCUGCGCUGGGCUCACCUUUCAGACGAAGUCCUCAUGAGGUAAGGAAAUGAGGUCAGGCCAAGUCACUUCACUGUGCUCUUUGUUCAGCUCCCUUUCCUCUCAUGACAUAUGUUAAUUCAGGUUCCACAGUCACUGUGGUCUCAGGAUUGGCACAGGAAGCAUUUUUAUUAGGGUCCAUGCUGUAUUUUCCAUCUGCUUCAUCAAGGAUCCCUGUGAUGAUGCUGAUGAGUCUCUCUGAAAUUCUUUCUGUUCUUUUUCUACUUCAUUGCACAGAACCCUUGAGGUAAGUAGGAAUGCACCUUGAAAAUGACCAUAACUACAUAUGUUAGCAUAGAAGUGGUAUUGUAAUUGGAGAUAAUUCCUUUACCAGAGAUCAGUUUGCAUUGUUUUACAUACUUGGUUAUGGGUGACUUUUCUGCUGAUGUAAGUGAACUUAUGCUAAAAUGAAUGAAAUAUAGGUUUUUGAAAAUCAGUUCCUUAAUCACACAGAAACACUUUCAGCCUUAGAGCUAUUUAGUGAAUAAUGAAAUUAAGUAGGUAAUAGUGUAAUUAAUUCUAAUAUAGUUAUUUGUUUACUUCCAAGUGCCAAUAUACAACUGACUAUAAUAAACUGUGGUACCUCUGGGAUGUCAACAAAUAUUAAAGUAGACAAUUCCAAGAAUGUGAAAUAUGUGUUCGAAUUUGCAUAUCUACUUAUAACUUGUAUUAAAUUGAUAUAAAGAUAAAUGUUAUAUAAUUCUGGAUUUUUAAGUGGUUUUAAUAUUGUAGAUUUAUAGUGAAAAAGGCUAGGAAUCUCAAGCUGUAAAUACCUCCCAAGUCCGCUCAAUUUGUGCAAGCAUAUAAUGAUUUUAAGAUAUAAUUUGAAAAAUAAGUCAUUCCUAAUAAAUGUUCAAAAGAUUGACUAUAUUUUGACCAAACAUUCUCUAUCUGUUAGCAAUCUAAAAACCUUGAGUUGUUUUAUAAUUAUUUGUUUGUAUGUCUAGUGGUGUUUAUUUUUUUCUUUUCCAUAGUUAUUAAAUACUAGGUUUCAAUUAAAUUUAUUUAGCUCGGACUGAAUAAAUAUUACAAAUUAAUUAAUGGUCUUAUGUGAAAGAACUUUGUCUUAAUUCCCUACCUUGUUUGAGUGAUUUUCUAACUUCUAAUUCUUCUUUAAUUUUAUACACACUUUGCAUUAAUUUUAUUAGUACAGUAUUCUAAGUACAUUAAUCUUCUCUGUCCUAAUUAGAUUGUCAAAAAUGCAUUAGUAUUAGUUCAUUUAUAACACCCAUUUAACAUUUACAUAUCACAAAAAAAAAUCAAAAAAUUAUGGGUACAUGACAAAGACUAAGGGAUGGGAGAAGUUAGUUAUACAAGACAACUAAGCCAAAAAAAAAAAAAAAAAAACGUUAAUAGAAUUGAAAGCAAAACUUGUCCUGGAGCCUUUUGACUUCCAGUGCAACAAGGGAUACGUGACUUGCAUUUGACUUGCUCUUAUUAGGUAAUAAAAUGGAAUAUACUGGUUCAAAAGGUAAGAAAGUGUUACUUUGAUAUAGAUUUCUGAAAGGGAUUUAUUGCAUGAGUUUGUUUUUUCUUCUAUAAGUGUAUCCCUCAUAUAUAUUGAGCAUUUGCAACAGCAUAGUGAAAUGUUGAAGCACAUUUAUAAAAAGGGAUUUCUGAGAUUAGUUAAGGAAACUUGGGAAUUAUGCCUGAUUCCUUCCUGUGCUUCCAUGCUCCACAUCACUUAACCAAAUAGUCUUCCAAAAAUGUCCCAAAUCACCAUUUUACGUCAUCAUCUUUCACAUUUCACAUCUGUGACACCAUCUUUCACAUUUCACAGUGUUGCAUCAUCUUUCAAAUUGUCAUUGUCUGUGUCACAUAUAAGAGGCUCCUAAGUGUUUUCUCUCUUCCGUUUGUUCCUCUCCAACUUAUUCUUCACAUUGCAAUCAGAGUGAGUUAUCUUAAAAUCCAAAUCUGAAAAUUGCUUCCCUUAUACCUCGUUCAUUACUUAUUGCACUUAGCACAAAUUUAAACUUAUUAAGCUAACCUACAAAAGACUUUCUGCCUUUCAAAAAAUAAAUUGUCAAAUAAUGAUCGUAUACAUUUACAGGGUAGAAUGUGAAGUUCUGAUAUAUGUGUGCCUCGUGGAAUUAUCAUAUCAAGAACAUAUUGAUGCUCUGAAAGAUAACCCCAGAAGAGUAUGAGGAGACAUACACAGUCUACACAGGCCUGUAAGCAACAAGAACAACAGAAAACGGGAUACAUGUGCAGAACAUGCAGGUUAGUUAUAUAGGUAUAUGUGUGCCAUGGUGGUUUGCUGCACCUAUUGACUCAUCCUCUGAGUUCCCUCCCCUCGCCUCGUACCCCUCAACAGACCCUGGUGUGUGUUGUUCCUCUCUCUGUGUCCAUGUUUUCUCAUUGUUAAGCUCCCACUUAUGAGUGAGAACAUGAGGUAUUUAGUUUUCUGUUUCUGUGUUAGUUUGUGAGGAUGAUGGUUUCCUGUUUCGUGCAUGUCCCAGCAGAGGACAUUAUCUCAUUCCCUUUUAUGGUUGCAUAGUAUUGAAUGGUCUAUAUGUACCAUAUUUUCUUUAUCCAGUCUAUCAUUGAUGGGCAUUUGGGUUGGUUCCAUGUCUUUGCUAUUGUAAAUAGUGCUGCAAUAAACAUAUGUGUGCAUGUGUCUUUAUAGUAGAAUGAUUUAUAUUCCUUUGGGUAUAUGCCCAGUAAUGGGAUUGCUGGGUAAAGUGGUAUUUCUGGUUCUAGAUCCUUGAGGAAUUGCCAUACGGUCUUCCACAGUGGUUGAACUAAUUUACAUUCCCAUCAACAGGGUAAAAGCGUUCCUAUUUCUUCACAGCCUCGUCAGCAUCUAUUGUUUCCUGACUUUACUAAUCGCCAUUCUAACUGGUGUGAGAUGAUAUCUCGUUGUGGCAAAACUCCUGAUUUUUAACCCUCUUUUAUUUUGGCUAUAAACCAAGACUCUGACUUCAUCUAGGUAAGGGCCAACUUUCUGAACAGGAAGAAAGAAAAUAAUACUUUUUAAUUAGGACAAGCAUGAAGACAGGAAUCUAGCCUCCCUGGACAGCAGAUGUCUUUCUUCUUUCUGCUCCAGGGCCUUGUCCCAAGAACCUACGUAGCUAUGAUGGAAAAGAUUAAGUAACAAACCACACAAGGGCUGAAAGCUGCUGGAGAAGUGCUCUGGUCACCUGUCCUUAGGCAGUAAUUCUGGAAGGUAUUUUGUAUGCUUUCAUUAGUUCUAGCUAAACUGAAGCCCUCUGGAGGUUCAUUAUGACAGUGUUGAUAGUGUGCUUUUGUUUUAAAUCACCAUUCAUGUGGUUUGACAUACAUAGAAAUAUUCACCGAUUUUAUGUAUAUGUUUAGAUGAUUUGUGAUAUAUAUAUCAUCAGUUAAAUAUCAUCAGAAUCAAAGAUGUGGGAAAUUACCAUCACCCCUUAGUUUCUGCACGUCCCAUUAGUCAAUGUCCUACUCCCAUCUCUUGCAAUAAUUGAUGACCUUUCUUCACUAUAGUUUUACUUUUUCUAGAAUUUUGUAUAAGUGGAAUUAUACAAUGCAAUGUCUCAUGUGUCAGGCUUCUUUCACAAAAAGAUAUUGAUAUUGUGCGUAUCAAUAUUCCCUUCCUUUUCAUUGCUAAGCAGUAUUACAUUGUAUGGAUGUGUCAUUUUUUUUUUUUUGCUUAUUCAUGUGUGAUAGACCAGUUGUGGUAUGCCCACACCACUUUCUAGUUCUAUGAACAUUCACAUGCAUUAGGGAGCAUAUGUGUGUUCAUUUUUCUUGGGUAAAUGUCUAAAAGUGGUAUUGGUAAAUCAUUUGACAAGUAUAUGUUUAACUAUCCAAGGAAUUAACAAAAUAGUUUCCAAAGUGAGUGUGCCAUUUUGCAUUCCCACCAGAAGUCAUCCUUAUCAAUGUUUGCCUUGACCAGUCUUUUUAAUUUUAAUCAUUCUGUAGCAUGUGUAGUGGUGUCUCACUGAGGUUUCAACUUGUAUUUCAACUAAUGAAGUUGAUCAGGGUUUUGUGUGAUUUUUUUUUUUUUUUGCCAUUUAUAUAUCUUUCUUGGUUAUCUCUGCUUCUUUCUGUCUCCAGUUCUUUCUUAAAUUAUUUGUCAUGUUAAUGAGUUAGAAAGAAGUCUUUAUUCUGGAUUAGAGCUUUUUAACAGAUAAUUACAUAUAUUUUCUCUGAUAUAUCUUUUGCUUUUUCAUGUUUAGAAUCUUUCAAAAGCAGGAGCUUUAAAUUUUGAUGGAGUGUAAUUUAUAAUUUUUUUCUUUUAUGAUUAAUGCUUUUUAACUUUCUAACUUAAUGCUUUUUUUGCCUAAUAAAUCUUUGCCUAAGCUGAGGACAAUUCUCUUCUCCUGUGUUUUCUUAUGGAAGAUUUAUAGUUUUAGGUUUUCUGAACAGACCUAUGAUCCCUUUCAAGUUAAUUUUUUGCAUAUCACUGCUUCCAUCCUGUUCCGUUGUUCUAUAUGUAUAGCCUUAUGUCAAUACUGUGCUGGCUGAUAUCAUUGCACAUAUUUUGUUGCAUAUUUUAAGUAUUUCAUGUUUUUUCAUGUGAUUAUGUUGUAAUUUUAAUUUAAAUUGCCAUUUGUUUAUUAUCACUAUAUAGAAUUACAAUAGAUUUUUGUAUAUUGCUGUUAUGCCCUGUUGCUCUGCUAAACUAACUUAAUAGUUUCAAUUGGUUUCUUUAAGCAGAUUAUUUAAUGUAUUCUACUAAGAAGAGAGCAUAUUCAUUCUAUACAGACACUUUUACAUCUUCCUUUUUAAUUUUUAUGCCUAUUAUUGCUUUCUCUUCUUUACUGCACAGCCUUAGACCUCAAGUAGUCCAUGAUCAUGAAAUGCAAUGGUUGUAAUACAUAAUGCAUUAUCCUGAAGCAGCUGGCCCCACAGAGCUCUGACACAGCCUUCUAAAAGCACAGUUAAAAUGCCAGUUUAGAGGCAACACUCUGAAAGAAUGGGUGUUAUCCUUCUGGGUGCAUUACAUGCAUUAAAUUAAAGAUUUAUAUGGUUCAUUGUCCUCAAUAAAAAAGGAUGCCAAGGAAUGAAAAGUGAUAUACAAUCAGUCUCUAAGACUGAGAUGGUUUGUGUUAUGCAUUCCCACAACUCCGAUUUCCAUUGAACUGAAGGUCGUGGUUCCCAGUGUGGCACACUCUUGCCAGAGUCAAAUAAAGAAUUCCACUGGGCCACAAGUUAUGGCAACUGCCAGGGCUCUUUGGACUUUUUGUGACCAGGAACCAGCAGGUGAGAAGAGGAGUCACCAUAAAUCAGAGAAAGCAGCAGGUGAGAAGAGGAGUCACCAUAAAUCAGAGGCAAUUGACUCUGGUAGACAAGAAGACGUAACACUGCUUCCAAUCGGUGAGCGCAGGGGGCUGUAGAUGUGCUGAACCCAGGUGAUGUACUAGAUGGCUCUGGGUACUAAAUACAUAUAGCAAUACUGGCCUGAUAAGAGUGUGAUUUCCAGGGCUCAGAUACUGCAGAGAUAAUGGUUUGGGUCACACCAGAUAAGACAGUAAGACCUGCCAAGGUGAGAGCGAGGAUAAGACUUUAAAAUGGAUAAUGGAGGAGAAAUAGAAGGAGUAGCAGUGUGGCCCUGAGCAUAAAUUUUCAAACAGGUCAGCAGUUAGUUCCACCAACUUUCCUCUUCUACAUUUUCCCUCAGAGAGAGAGGGAGAGGCACUUGCACCACACAGGAGUAUUGCUAGAACCUGCAGAAAGAAGGUUUGUGGGGUGGAGUGGGAAGUGGGGGCUGUAAUCUCUUGCUGAGAAGGUGCAACUGACUGCAGGCCCCUGCUGCUGUCUCACAUUUUCCCUGAGGCAAUGCUGGUCACUGCUGUGUCUACCCGUGAUGGAGCACACCAGCUGUGCUAAUGCAGGCCUGUUCCCAUGAGAUGGGGGACUCCUUAGUGGAUUACUUUGGUUUCAGGAUUCCCCAUCAACUCUUCUGAGUCUUUUCCAUAUGGUGCUGCAGUGGUCUGACAUUCUUCCUACCCAAUUCACUUUCCUUCCCCUUUCCUUUCCUUCACAGGUGUCAGACCAGCGUUGUGGUCUAAAGAUCGCCCUGCUUUCUUUGGCUCUAUUUUUUUUCACAGUUGUUUCCCCAAUAAAUCUCUUGCAUGUCUAAUCUCAUUUUAGCAUUUGCUUUUUGGAAGGCCCAAACUAUCAUAUAAGUCAAUAUAAAAUGAGCGAUUAUUUUAGACUUUGAGUUAGCAUUUUCACAAAGGAAGAUACACAAAUGGCCAAAAAAAAAGCAUGUGAGUUAUCAGAAAAUGUAAAUUAAAGUCAUAGUUACAUGUCAUUUAACACCCACUAGGACUAAAAUUAGAAAUAUUGACAACAGUAAAUGUGUGAAAAGUUACAAAUAGAACUCUCAAUGAUUGCUGGUGAUUGUAUAAAAGAUUACUAAAACUCUGGAAGUGCUUUAGCAAUUUCUUACACAGUCAAUUAUACACAUACUUUUUGAGGUAAGAACUGCACUUCUAUUAAUAUAAAUGCAUUAAAUGAAAGUUUAUGUCUAAAGAUGGAUUUCUACAAGAAUAUUCACGGAAGCUUUAUUUGUAAUAGCCAAAAUUUGGUAGCAGCCCAAAUGUCCAUCAAAAGAAUGGAUAAAAAUAUUUUGUAGAUUUUAACAAUAGAAUAAUACUAAUCAAUAAGAUGAAAUGUAAUACUGAAUCAGAAAACAACAUUCGUCUGUCUCAAAAUCACUGAACUAGAUACAAAACUUACUAUAUGAUUUUCUUUAUACACAAUUCUAAAAAAAUACAAUUAGUCUAUAGCAACAGAGAAGAGAUUAGUAGUUAUCUAGGAUGGAUCAGGGUGAUGGAGGCACAGAGGUCCUGCAAAGAAGUGGGAGGAGGCUUUGCGGGCAAAGAAAAUGUUCUGUAGCUUGAUUAUAGCAGUGCCUUCCCCAGUGCAUCAAGUGUUAAAAUUAAUUGAAUUGCCAAUUAAGAGAACUCAAUUUACUGGACAUAAAUUAUACCUCAAUUAAAUUGCUAAAAAUAUUUCCACACAUGUAGAUUCAUCAAACAUAUUGAAAAUAAACUAAAUGUUCUAAUUUGAUGGAAUGCAAUCCCCACUGUUUGGAAGCUAUGUGUCCACAAAUAAAAACUCAGAGAUAAAGAUUGUGUAAAAAAAUUAAGUAUUAAAACAUAUGCAGUACACGGGAAAAAACUUUCUAAUAUUACUGACAUUUUUAUGGUUGCAUAGCUCAUAAAACUAUGAUCUGUGUUUUUGUAAAGUGCAAAGGGUUUGUGAUGUUUUGUAUUAGGUUAGAAUCACAAUUUCAAACAUUUGUCACGUUCUUCUUUUUCUUGUAUCAUGUGAUUUUCGUAUAAAUGCAUUUCUUGCAUAUGUACUUGAAUUUAUUAUGAGUAAACUUGAAAAAUUACAUCACUAGUAAAUUAUUGAAAGUGCUGAGAACAAAGUUGUUCUAUAUUCAGUAAAUUUUUUAAAACACAUCAUUAAAACUUGUCUAAAAUACAUUUCUGGAGAUAAUUCUGAUUAUUAUGCUCAUAAGUAAUGAUUCCGUGGUUUAAAAUGAAAUACUAUUAACAUUUUAAAUGGUAUAUUAAAACAGUAUUUCAUCUACUGAGUUUCCAUAAUUCUUAAUAAGUGCUACAGUAUUGAAAUACAUUUUAGUUUGUAUUGAGAAGCGCAUUAUAUCUAACGUUUCAAUAGCACAGUGUUUGCU